ACUCCUACGGGAGGCAGCAGUGGGGAAUAUUGCACAAUGGGCGCAAGCCUGAUGCAGCCAUGCCGCGUGUGUGAAGAAGGCCUUCGGGUUGUAAAGCACUUUCAGUUGUGAGGAAGGUGGUGUCGUUAAUAGCGGCAUCAUUUGACGUUAGCAACAGAAGAAGCACCGGCUAACUCCGUGCCAGCAGCCGCGGUAAUACGGAGGGGUGCGAGCGUUAAUCGGAAUUACUGGGCGUAAAGCGCAUGCAGGUGGUUUGUUAAGUCAGAUGUGAAAGCCCGGGGCUCAACCUCGGAACUGCAUUUGAAACUGGCAGACUAGAGUACUGUAGAGGGGGUAGGAAUUUCAGGUGUAGCGGUGAAAUGCGUAGAGAUCUGAAGGAAUACCGGUGGCGAAGGCGGCCCCCUGGACAGAUACUGACACUCAGAUGCGAAAGCGUGGGGAGCAAACAGGAUUAGAUACCCUGGAGCACAGAG
rnacentral:rRNA from 1 species